UUUUCCACCCUACUUACUCCUCGUUGCUAGUCAUCGGUUGCUAUCAGUCUCUAGAGCUGUGGAACAUGACGGAGAACAAGACGAUGACCCUCUCCGCGCACGACGGGCUGAUAGCGUCGCUGGCUGUGUCCACGGUGGCGGGCGUUGUUGCAUCCGCCAGCCACGACAAGAUCGUAAAGCUGUGGAAAUGAAGGUGUCUCAGAAUUACGUAGCUGUUUAACCGCAAUCGAAUUUUUGUCAGAUUUUGUAAUUUUAUUUUCUUGAUAGGUUUUUAUGGUGAAACAGAGUUGGUAGGUUUAGAAACUAACUGUUAAUCUGUUAUGUUGCUUCUGCUACUCAGUAACCUGACUCAAUUCAAUUACUACUUGAGAGUGCAUCAAAUUUAUCUUAA